UCCCAUAUGGUCUAGUGGUUAGGAUACCCGGCUCUCACCCGGGAGGCCCGGGUUCAAUUCCCGGUAUGGGAA
rnacentral:tRNA from 1 species